GGCGAACGCUGGCGGCGUGCUUAACACAUGCAAGUCGAACGGAAAGGCCCUGCUUUUGUGGGGUGCUCGAGUGGCGAACGGGUGAGUAACACGUGAGUAACCUGCCCUUGACUUUGGGAUAACUUCAGGAAACUGGGGCUAAUACCGGAUAGGAGCUCCUGCUGCAUGGUGGGGGUUGGAAAGUUUCGGCGGUUGGGGAUGGACUCGCGGCUUAUCAGCUUGUUGGUGGGGUAGUGGCUUACUAAGGCUUUGACGGGUAGCCGGCCUGAGAGGGUGACCGGCCACAUUGGGACUGAGAUACGGCCCAGACUCCUACGGGAGGCAGCAGUGGGGAAUAUUGCACAAUGGGCGGAAGCCUGAUGCAGCAACGCCGCGUGCGGGAUGACGGCCUUCGGGUUGUAAACCGCUUUCGCCUGUGACGAAGCGUGAGUGACGGUAAUGGGUAAAGAAGCACCGGCUAACUACGUG
rnacentral:rRNA from 1 species